GAAAGACACAGUAAAUCUGUAAAGAAUUCAUAAAACAAGGAGAUUUGGGCUUGGAAUAGCUAAUUAGUGAAGAAGUGACAGGAAUGUUUAUACGGCUUUCUUGGCCAUAAAUUCCCUAUCAAUGGUGAUAAAGAUGUCUCUCUACCUCCCAAGAAGUACAUUUCACAUGGUUGAUUUAUACCCUGUUUUCAGAGGGACAAAGGAGGAUCAGAUUGUCCUUCUUGAUCCUGCUGUUUCUUAGGUAACUUUAAUUCAAAAUAAAAUGCCAAACAGAUAUCCACAAUGUUGUAUGCCUGAUAUCAUGCUCCUUUUAAUUAUUUAAUGGUCUGCAUUUUCUUAGUCUUUGACCUCAGAGUCUUUCAUACUUUCUUACCAACUCUAAGGUUUCAUAUUUUCAGCAAGUUGAAUUUUAAGUUGAUUUUUUUCCAAGAUGCAAUGGUAGACUUAUGAUUGCACAAAAUUAGAAAAAAAAAAAAAAGGUUAAAAAUUUCCAAAGAAUAUCAUACACAACAAUUUUCUUCCUUUUUAAAAUUUUUUUUCUUAAAUUUAGAUAUAUGUAUUUGGACCUAAGUAAUAGUAUAAAAAUUUUUUUCCCUGGUAAUUCCUAGGAAGAAGUUAUAGAUAAAAUAUCUGAAAUAGACUGCAGAUAACUUUGAUCUUGAAAUGAUACACUGAUAAAAUAUGAUCCUAUUAUAUAUUCUGAUAGAAUAUGUUUUAUAUUCAGUGUCAUUUUAAAUAUUCUACUUGCAAUGGGAACAUAAUAGUGAAUUAGCUGUUACAUAAGUAGUAAAUGAAAGGUCAGUUCUGCUAGUCCUUCAUUACAAGUCAAAACAAAAGGUAUUGCAUUAUUGAAAACUAGUUAAUGGUCAUGGUAAUUAAGAAAUAUUAAUAAAAAGCUAUCACUUUUGCCAUCUUUCAUUUUACAUAGAUUUACCACAUAAGAGAUAUUACUUCAUGUAGUGGUUAGUUUUGGCAAGAUUGGUAUAUUCUUUUUUAAAACAGAAUUCCCUUCAAGAAACUAACCAAAAGUAGCUAAAACUUUAUGGCUGAAGCGUUUGAGCCAUAUAAAUAUUCUAAGAUGGUCAUGAAUUGAAACUCUGUAUCAAGAUUUAUCUGCAUUUACAUCACUUUUGAGUUUGUAGUUAAUGCUUUGUAACAACCCAUACUUAGAUAUAAUUUGAAACUUCUUUUCUUCUUAUGACAUAUACUUACACAAGCAUUAAAUGGCUUUGCUAAGAAAUCUUUUAUGUAUGAAUGUGAGUACAUUUUAUAGGUCUAAUGGAAAAUGUAAAAUCUAGGGCUUACAUGGAUUAAGGAGGAAGACUUAAAUGUUCAGAGACCCUAAGUCAUCACUUUGCUUCUCAUGUUAAUAUGAGAAUAUUCUUUGCUUGUAUUAUACUGCUUUAUAAUUGCAAAGCAAUGAACAGUGUACUCCAUUAUUUCUUAAAAUGUUCUCUUUCCUCAGGCUAAAAUACUUGAAUAUUUUUAAUGUUGAAAAAACAGCCACUGCUCUCUUUAAAAAGAAGUAGUUUUGUUUAGGGAGUUGAUAUAAUAACCUUAAGAAGUAUAAAGCACUAUUGAAGUACCUGAAUGUUAGUUUUAAAGUUAAAAUGUGCUCGAAGUGAAAAUGAGGCUUUUUUUGCUCAAUUUUAGAUUAAAAAAAAUUAUGUGAAUGUAACUUUUCUCUCUACCCUUAAUUACUAUUCCCAAACUGUCUACCAACUUUCUUUUUGCUGCCUAUUAUCUUAAUAAGGACAAUGCUGAUAGUAUGAGUUUUCAUUUAGAACACCUGUUAAGUCUCUAGUGCUU
rnacentral:lncRNA from 1 species